GAGGGGCCAGCCAGGUGCUUAACGAAGCCAUGUUUUCAGCCUGAGUGCACAGAAACCAGGUAGUAUUCGCUUCAUCCUUCACUUUCAGGAUUCAGAGGGCAGCAUCUUGAAAGGUGGUUGUCUGAUGAGCAGGAGACAGCAUGAAGCCAGUAACAACAGCAUUGACCUAUGAGGUCUGUUAGACUCCAGGGAAAUCUCUACAGCAGCAUCCCUCGAGGCAGUCUCUACAUACAACUCCUGGAUGGGUUUCUGCUCUUAGACAAAUGGAGACUGACCUCGAAUCCUGUCUUUGGAGUCCCAAGAGAGCUCUUCUCUCCUUAUCUCAAG
rnacentral:lncRNA from 1 species